ACAUAUGACUCAACACGAAAUAGAUGGUGAUUAACAGAGAGUUAUCCAAAUUAUUAUAUAUAGAAAUAAUUCAAAAUUAUUUUAAAGAAAUUCUAACUUUUCACUCGAUAAAAUAUAGUGUAAAAACGCAACUUGAUUCAGAGGAUGAAAAUGAAGUGUUCAGAUAUGAGUUGAAAAAUACUUAUUUCAAUUGAUUGAGUAAAGCUGUUUUAUCAUUAUUAGUAAUAUGAAGAUUUUUAUAUCAGACUUAGAGAAAAGCUUUACUACACUCUUGUUAACUAUAAUGCUUUUAGCGAGAAAUAAUACCUAAAGUGUAAGCUAAAAAUUUAUCAUAUUUAAAAAAUAAAUUUCAAAGUUAUCGUCCAGUUUCAUACAGUCCUUUUGUUUUUAAUAAUGAAAGGGGAAGAGAGAAUAUGGAUAUUCGUGAUGAAAAAUGUCAUGUGUAUGAACAGCUGAAACUGUUAAUGGAGGAAAGGAGGGAACUUUCAAGACAGUAUUAUGAUUUAAAAGAGUACUUGAUUCAUUUAGAAGAAGACAAGAUUGUUUCGGAUUCUAGUGAUGAACUAUCUCAAGAAACUAAAUUUUCAAAUUUCAAAAGUGAAAAAGUGCUUCAGGAUUAUUUAAUUCAGCGAAAAAUGAUUGGCACU
rnacentral:misc_RNA from 1 species